CAGCGAGCAGCAACGAAGGCCAUCGAAGUGAGAUCGUGUGUCAGCCAUCUCUCGUCGCCGUGAAAACACGACAGUCGUUCGUCAUUCCUUGGAUAUAACGAGAAAUCCUCCACGGCACCCGCUUUAUAUAACGCAAGAAGGCAGCUGCAAGGAUACGAGGAUGUGAAAGAGCCAGUGCAGCGUGACUUCAGGGACAUCCCAGGGCGUGUUUUUCUCAGCACCCAGUCAACUGCCAGAAGUGAUUCCAACACAGGCCACCAGUCGCACUCAGCUGUACCACUGCAGUACUGCGGAAAUUGCCUGCACCAGCGGCUUUGCAACAGCUGUUUCACAGCAUAUCGACGGUUCAAGUGGCUGUUGGACAAGCUGGCCCUUUUGACAUGGAGUGGCUCGUUGUUUUGCUACGAGCCUCAAUAAACGAAUGAAUAAUGAACCCUCCAACUUGCUUACCAUGCUACUUCCUAAAUGAGAACAUUAUCACUGGAGGCAUAGUUUCGAUUCAAGGAUAAAAUGUCAAAAAUGUUGGAGUGGCUGCACUUAGCAAAAAAGCUUAUUUACAAAAUGUGUGAUCGUGAAAUGGUCUUUCCUGAUAUUGAUGACUACCUG